GCAUAUGUGGGAAAGAGAGCUGGGAAUCCAAGACUUCGCUUGAAGCGCUGAAUCAACUAAACUUGACACGGGUGACUCAUGUCUGGUUGCCGUGGAAACUACGCCCACCCAAAAACGUUGUUACCAGAAAGUGGCAAGCUUUAAGCAAUAUUCUGAGCUUGGCCUUGGUCUUGGUCCUCUAAACCCGGAUCUCCAAGUGUCACCACAGAAGAGUACCAAUGAUGGAAAAGAGAAGAUGUGUGAUGACGAACACGGAACCAUAAAUGCUAUACUGACGAAGGAAAGCCAUACACAUUGUCCUAGCAGCUCAGUAAAAUAACAUUGAAGCAAUACCAGGUGGAUCAUUAUAAUAAAUGAACAAGGCAAGGUAUACAUGUGAAGAGACCCCAUUUCCCAAAAUAUUCAUGUACUUUCAUCACUGCAUCAGGACACAUUGAGGAUAAUAACCAGCAGAAAAUAGGUUUUAUAAUACAAUGGUUAGCUUAUUUUUACACUUAUA